GACGAACGCUGGCGGCGUGCUUAACACAUGCAAGUCGAACGGAAAGGCCCUGCUUUUGUGGGGUGCUCGAGUGGCGAACGGGUGAGUAACACGUGAGUAACCUGCCCUUGACUUUGGGAUAACUUCAGGAAACUGGGGCUAAUACCGGAUAGGAGCUCCCGCUGCAUGGUGGGGGUGGGAAAGUUUCGGCGGUUGGGGAUGGACUCGCGGCUUAUCAGCUGGUUGGUGGGGUAGUGGCUUACCAAGGCUUUGACGGGUAGCCGGCCUGGGAGGGUGACCGGCCACAUUGGGACUGAGAUACGGCCCAGACUGCUACGGGAGGCAGCCGUGGGGAAUAUUGCACGAUGGGCGGAGGCCUGAAGCAGCACCGCCGCGUGCGGGAUGACGGCCUUCGGGUUGGAAACCGCUUUCGCCUGUGACGAAGCGUGAGUGACGGUAAUGGGUAAAGAAGCACCGGCUAACUACGUG
rnacentral:rRNA from 1 species